rnacentral:rRNA from 1 species
AACGAACGCUGGCGGCAGGCUUAACACAUGCAAGUCGAGCGCCCCGCAAGGGGAGCGGCAGACGGGUGAGUAACGCGUGGGAAUCUACCCAUCUCUACGGAAUAACGCAUGGAAACGUGUGCUAAUACCGUAUAAGUCCUUCGGGGGAAAGAUUUAUCGGAGAUGGAUGAGCCCGCGUUGGAUUAGCUAGUUGGUGGGGUAAAGGCCUACCAAGGCGACGAUCCAUAGCUGGUCUGAGAGGAUGAUCAGCCACACUGGGGCUGAGACACGGCCCAGACUCCUACGGGAGGCAGCAGUGGGGAAUAUUGGACAAUGGGCGCAAGCCUGAUCCAGCCAUGCCGCGUGAGUGAUGAAGGCCCUAGGGUUGUAAAGCUCUUUCACCGGUGAAGAUAAUGACGGUAACCGGAGAAGAAGCCCCGGCUAACUUCGUGCCAGCAGCCGCCGUAAAAC